CUGAUGGAGACAAAGAGACAAAUUUUUUUGCAAUUUUUUAUUGUCUAGCUUGAGAGUGCCUUAAAUAUGGCAGAAUCUACCUGGGGAUCACUUAAUGGUGAGCGUACCAGUACAAGCGCCUCAAUAUUGACCGAGGAUGAAAUCAAAUCUCUUCAGUUUCAAGGUAAAGGUGGGUGAUUCGAUAUCUGAUAACAUAUGGACUAAUGAUCUUCCCCCUUCAGUUUCUCUUAAUUGUGUUCAUCUGUCUUAUCAAAGACAACAUUUUUGGCUUGGAAUUAGUCUUUGUACUGGUUGGGUUGAAAUUAUUUUCAUUUGCUGACUUCAAAGUAUUAGCUAAAUAUGUACAUAGUAUAUUUAGUCUUUAUUAUGAUUAGUCAAUCCCUAUAAUCAUUUAUAGGAUAUCAUUAGCAUUAACGUAUGAUUAGGUGUUCCUUUCUUAGCUUCCUCUGUUUUGUAUAAAGAGAUUGUACCAUCUUCUUAAUAAAAUCAUCACCUUCAAUAUUUACAUGGUAUCAAGAGCUCUCGUUCUAAGAGACCUAAAAUUUUCUUUUCUUUCCGCCGUCAUCAAUGGCAACCUCAAACGCUGAAAAUAUCCCUCUAAACACUGAAUCUGUUCUCACAAUCAAUAUGUCUCAUGUUACAAGACUCACCAGCUCCAAUUACCUUAUGUGGAGCCUGCAAGUCAGGUCAUUCCUUGAUGGUCUCGGCCUUGCUAGCUACCUCAACCCGGCGUCCCCUGUUCCUGAUGCAACUGUCACUGUUGGUCACGGUUUUUGGAGAAAUAUGGCUACUCUGGUCCUCUCACCAUCACUGCCGUUGGCCAUCUAUCACACGUCCCUGAUUACAUCCUUGGAGCACUCUCUUCCUCUGGAAUCACUCUCUGUCAUUCCCCCAAGUCUUUAGUUUCUUCUGAAGCAGGUUUCGAUGACAUCAAGUUGCUUAUGUCUCGGUGGAUUUCUAAGAAUCCACCCCCAGCUAAUAUUUUGGGCAUAUGCAAUCCGAUAUACUUACCUCCACCUCAGAGUGGAUACAAUCUUUUUCGGCCGUAUUCAUAUUCUUCUCCUCAACAAGACGCCAUCCAGCUUAAUUCUGGCAGAAUCAGGGGCGCUUGAAGAGGAUACGUACGGUGAAUUUGGUAAAUCUGCCAGCUGGUUUUGCUUAUUAUGCAAAUAUUUUGGUGGCCAAGGCUUUAACAGUUUCUCCAGACAUCUCUCUAGUCGGAAACAUGCACUUAAGGAGAAGGAAGACCUUAAAACAAAAACUUGAGAAGUGUGAAGUAGAAAUUGAGAAAACUAGGAAAACAGAUGAGCUAAAUCUUGAUACCUUUCAGCAUUUUCACAAGGUAUGCCAGCUUUUUUAAUUUUAAUUUUUGUAUACUUGCCACUCGGAUUUGCUACAAUUGCUUAUCAAAUUGAGAAAAUAAUCAGUAAAAGUGGGGACAAGUGAUAUUUUGUGCUUCAAAAGAUCCACUUUGCAUCCAAUUCUGUUGUUUGCAACCGACAUUACAACUAAAAAAAAAACAGCAGUCACUAAGUUUUUUUUUAAUUCCUUGCUGUUGCUAAAAGUUUUACAUAGUUUAGGAGGACUUUUAGGUUUACAGUGAAGUGAUUUGGAAGAGUAUUUGAUUUGUCGAAGUAGAUUUUUAGUUGUACUCAAAUAUUUUUAAUAUCUCGAGUGUCCUAGUGUGCACGGAUCAGAUAAAAUUCUCACAUCUUUCUCCUGACACACCUUUGGUCCUGGCGGGUUGAUGAUUCUGGGACCAGCAACAUGAUAGAGGAAAGCCAAGCAGUAAUUUCUAAGGUUCCUGCUCGUGUGUCAGGACCUGCACUAGCAGCUUCACUCUUUCAACUCUGUUGUUGGUGUAUAUAUCGCUCCUUUUAUCUUGUAGCUGGCCAAAAUUCAUGAGAAGUAUCAAGAGGCUGUUGAUGCCUUGAGGCAUGAGCAAUUAGGUAGAAAGGAAGCUGAGAUGAUACUUCAACGGGUUGUAUCCAUUCGGAUUUAUUACUACUAGUCGGUUUGGUUUCGGUUCAGGUAAACAUCAAGUUACGGUUUGUUUCGGAAAGAAAAAACAGUAUGAAUUUUUGGAUAUUUAGGUUAUUUUAGAUCUUUAGUAUUUUUGGAUAUAAAUUUAUAACUAAAUAUACAUUGGAUAUAUAAUCUUAUUUCAGAUUUUUGGAUAACUGUUCGGUUUUUGGUUAGGUUCAGAUUCAGAUAGAAACAUUAAAAUCCAUUCGGCUUUAUGACUGUUUGGUCAAUUUCGGUUCGGUUUUCGAGUUUUAUGCCCA